AGAGUUUGAUCCUGGCUCAGGACGAACGCUGGCGGCGUGCUUAACACAUGCAAGUCGAGCGGAAAGGCCCUUCGGGGUACUCGAGCGGCGAACGGGUGAGUAACACGUGAGGAACCUGCCCUUGGCUCUGGGAUAGCUUCGGGAAACCGGGAUUAAUACCGGAUAUGACUGUUGCCGGCAUCGGUGAUGGUGGAAAGUUU
rnacentral:rRNA from 1 species